CUGGUACUUGAUGAAUACAGUAAUCGUGCCACACGGUUACGGGAGUGACGUUCCGGAAUUAUUGGGCGUAAAGCGUCCGCAGCGGUCUUGUAAGUCUGUCGUUAAAGCGUGGACUUAUCCAUUUGACAUGGAAACUGCAAACUAAUGUGGUAGGGCAAGGAAUCCCGGUGUACGGUGAAAUGCUAAUUCGGGAAGAACACAGUGGCGAAGGCGCUCUGCUGGGCCAUAACUGACGCUCAUGGACGAAAGCCAGGGGAGCGAAAGGGAUUAGAUACCCCUGUAGUCCUGGCCGUAAACGAUGAACACUAGGUGUCGGGGGAAUCGAACCCCUCGGUGUCGUAGCCAACGCGUUAAGUGUUCCGCCUGGGGAGUACGCACGCAAGUGUGAAAUCAAGGAAUG
rnacentral:rRNA from 1 species